AUUGAACGCUGGCGGCAUGCCUUACACAUGCAAGUCGAACGGUAACGGGCCUUCGGGUGCCGACGAGUGGCGAACGGGUGAGUAAUGUAUCGGAACGUACCUUUCAGUGGGGGAUAACGUAGCGAAAGUUACGCUAAUACCGCAUAUUCUGUGAGCAGGAAAGCAGGGGGAUCGCAAGACCUUGCGCUGAUUGAGCGGCCGAUAUCAGAUUAGCUAGUUGGUGAGGUAAAGGCUCACCAAGGCGACGAUCUGUAGCGGGUCUGAGAGGAUGAUCCGCCACACUGGAACUGAGACACGGUCCAGACUCCUACGGGAGGCAGCAGUGGGGAAUAUUGGACAAUGGGCGAAAGCCUGAUCCAGCAAUGCCGCGUGAGUGAUGAAGGCCUAGGGUUGUAAAGCUCUUUUACCAGGGUAUGAUAAUGACAGUACCUGGAGAAUAAGCUCCGGCUAACUCCGUGCCAGCAGCCG
rnacentral:rRNA from 1 species